GACAGAGGGUGCGAACGUUGCUCGGAAUUACUGGGCGUAAAGCGCGUGUAGGCGGGUGAUCAAGUCAGGUGUGAAAUCCCCAGGCUCAACCUGGGAACUGCACUUGAAACUGGUUGCCUUGAGUGUUGGAGAGGGAAGCGGAAUUCCUGGUGUAGAGGUGAAAUUCGUAGAUAUCGGGAGGAACACCUGUGGCGAAGGCGGCUUUCUGGGCCUUACCUGACGCUGAGACGCGAAAGCGUGGGGAGCGAACCGG
rnacentral:rRNA from 1 species